rnacentral:rRNA from 1 species
CGCCUCUUGACAACGAUAAGAGGUCCUGCCUGCCCAGUGAUAAAUUCAACGGCCGCGGUACCCUAACCGUGCAAAGGUAGCAUAAUCACUUGUUCCUUAAAUAGGGACUCGUAUCAACGGCAUCACGAGGGUUACACUGUCUCCCCCCUCCAAUCAGUGAAACUGAUCUCCCCAUGAAAAAGUGGGGAUAACACUAUAAGACGAGAAGACCCCAUGGAGCUUUAGACCCAAUAGCAAUUUAGCAAAGCUACAAAACUAUGCUAGCGGCUUUAGGUUGGGGCGACCACGGAGUAAAAAUUAACCUCCAUAACGAAAAGAUUUUAAUCUUUACCCAAGAACCACUAUUCUAAGAAUUAGGAAACUAACGGACUAUGACCCGAUAUCGAUCAAUGAACCAAGUUACCCUGGGGAUAACAGCGCAAUCUACUUCAAGAGUCCAUAUCGACAAGUAGGCUUACGACCUCGAUGUUGGAUCAGGGUAUCCCAGUGGUGCAGCCGCUACUGAAGGUUCGUUUGUUCAACGAUUAAAACCCU